rnacentral:rRNA from 1 species
GUGGGGAAUAUUGGACAAUGGGCGAAAGCCUGAUCCAGCCAUGCCGCGUGUGUGAAGAAGGUCUUCGGAUUGUAAAGCACUUUAAGUUGGGAGGAAGGGCAGUAAGUUAAUACCUUGCUGUUUUGACGUUACCAACAGAAUAAGCACCGGCUAACUUCGUGCCAGCAGCCGCGGUAAUACGAAGGGUGCAAGCGUUAAUCGGAAUUACUGGGCGUAAAGCGCGCGUAGGUGGUUCAGCAAGUUGGAGGUGAAAUCCCCGGGCUCAACCUGGGAACUGCCUCCAAAACUACUGAGCGAGAGUACGGUAGAGGGUAGUGGAAUUUCCUGUGUAGCGGUGAAAUGCGUAGAUAUAGGAAGGAACACCAGUGGCGAAGGCGACUACCUGGACUGAUACUGACACUGAGGUGCGAAAGCGUGGGGAGCAAACAGGAUUAGAAACCCUUGUAGUCC